ACCGUUCUUAGUUUCUCUCUCUUGCCUGUCUCUCUCUAAAUACGUGUGUACGAAUUUCUCGUCGGAGUUCAACGGGACAACCCAAAUUCAAAGAUCGUGGCAAUCGUUGGAGUCUAUUAUAUACGCUGUUGCUUGCGUGAAUCUCGUGUAAAUAUCGGAAUCUGAUUGUAAUUUUCGAUCGAUAUAUCUUUUGAUACCCAAAGCCAAAGAAGAAACAGAGUAUUUUGUUUAUUGGAAAUCGGUUUUGGAAACAACGAAGUGAUGGAUAUCUUCUGUUUGAAUCCUGGAACCUACGGGAUUUCUUCGUCGUUUUCAGUAAAUGCGGCUCUUGAUGUUCGUGCGAAUCCAUCUCAGGUCAGUACAACCGGUAGGUCGGCGGCGGCGGCGGUUGAGAAACCGCAGAAAAUGAUUUCGCCGUCGUCGUCUUCUUCUUCAUCUUCGUUUCGGAAGUUUUCUUUGAAGUAUCCUCUGCAAUCGCUGUGGAGUCGGAGUGGUGAAGCUGGGAAUCCGAGGCGAGGCGGUUUGGCGCUUGACGACGCCGUUUUGGUAGAGAGUGAAAACGAUCGGAGAGUCGUUCUUGAGGAGGAAAGUGAGAAUGUAGCAACUGGAUCGGAGUGGAGAGAUGGAAAUUGGGUGAUGAAGAUUUUAAGAGUGAGAUCUCUGUGGAGAGAGGAAGAGAAGCAGGGAAAUGCUGAGGAAGUGGUUGAAAACGAGAUGGACGAAUAUCGAGCAAGUGCUUGUGAUGGAGAAGAGGGCUGUGAUACUUGCAGAAUCGUUGAGGAAGAAGAUGAAGAACAGAUUGAAUUUGAUGAACACUCGUUUUCCAGAUUGCUUAGACGGGUUUCGUUGGCUGAAGCGAGGUUAUAUGCUCAAAUGUCGUAUCUAGGGAACCUCGCGUACUCCAUUUCCGAAAUUAAGCCGAAGAACCUGCUGAGGCAUUAUAAUUUACGCUAUAUAACUUCUUCAAUAGAAAAGAGGGAAAUAGUUAUGAAAACUGAGAAAAACCAAGAGCCAUCUGCAUCUAAAGAGGCUGAAAGGGAUCUAAAAAAUGAUGAACAAUGUGAAGAACAGAAGGAUGGAUAUCAAAUAAGUGCAUCUACAGCUUAUGAGAUUGCUGCCUCUGCUGCUUCUUAUUUGCAUUCUCAUACCAGAAAAAUACUUCCAUUCAGAUCCUCUAAAAUUGGGGAUUCGCUUGAAGCAAGUCAGAACAAUGUUGACAUGAUGAAUUCAGAGAUGGCUUCUUUGAUGGCAACCACGGACUCGGUUACUGCUGUUGUUGCUGCAAAGGAAGAAGUGAAGCAGGCUGUUGCAGAUAAUUUGAAUUCGACUCGGUCAUCACCUUGCGAAUGGUUCGUGUGCGACGAGGUUGAGAGCGGUACAAGAUUCUUCGUCAUCCAGGGAUCUGAGUCACUGGCAUCUUGGCAAGCAAAUUUGCUUUUUGAACCCAUUGAUUUCGAGGGACUAGGAGUCCUUGUCCACAGAGGAAUCUAUGAGGCUGCUAAAGGAAUAUAUGAACAGAUGCUGCCUGAUGUCCUCGAACAUCUACAAUCUCAUGGUAACCGCGCGAACUUUCGGUUUACUGGGCAUUCUCUGGGGGGAAGCUUGGCGCUGCUCGUAAAUCUCAUGCUCUUGAUAAGAAAUAAGGUCCCAGUUUCUUCCUUGCUUCCUGUCAUUACAUUUGGUGCACCAUCCAUAAUGUGUGGAGGUGACCACUUACUUCGCAAGCUCGGUUUGCCUCGGAACCAUCUUCAAGCUGUUACAUUACAUAGAGACAUAGUACCACGAGCGUUCUCGUGCCAGUAUCCGAACCAUGUCGCAGAACUUCUUAAAGCUGUCAAUAGGAACUUCCGGAAUCAUCCAUGUCUAAUUAACCAAAAAUUGCUGUAUGCACCAAUGGGCGAGCUUCUAAUUCUGCAGCCCGAUCAUAAAUUCGCUCCAAGCCAUGAUCUUCUUCCUUCAGGCAGAGGUCUGUAUCUUUUAAGCUGUCCACAACCUGAUGCCAAUGAUGCAGAGAAGCAACUCCGAGCAGCACAAAAGGUAUUCUUAAACACACCGCAUCCACUUGAGACCCUCAGCGAUCGAUCCGCUUAUGGUUCAGGUGGAACGAUCCAAAGAGAUCACGACAUGAAUUCAUACCUAAGGUCGAUUCAAGGAGUGAUUCGUCAAGAGCUAACCCGCAUAAGGAAAACAAGGAGAGAACAUCGGCGCAAGGUCUGGUGGGCUCUUGUGGCUCCAAACAACGUCGAUAUAGGAAUCAUCAUUGGACGGCCUGCCGAUUCAAUCUCAAGUAUCCUGCAAACAGGACGAGAGUCGUUGAGACGAUUGAGUAGGCUUGUUGCUUCACAGCAUAUGAAUCUGCUUGUGGUGCUGUUGCUCCCUGCUAGAUUGCUAUUACUUGAAGUCAAUGGGUGGUGGGUUAGAACUUGAAAGACUAUGUUCUAGUUCUUGUUCAUUCGGUUGCCCAAACAGUUCACAGAUUCUUUAUUCAUUGGUUCCAAAAUAUAGACAGCAACAUCAUCAUCAACGAGUUGAUUGUUCAAUAUUAUGGGUGGUUGUUGGAACGAACUUCCUUUCCAACUUCAAGAAACAGUUGCUUGUACACAAUUCUUGUUCUUGUUCUUCGCCUGUAAUUACCCUUGUUCUUGUAAAGGUCCUGGUAAUCUAUUACGAUCAACAUGAGCUAUUGUUGCACGCUUUUGUGUUCUUCCUCUGUUUAUCACGUUUUACUAUAAUUUGGUAGUGAUAAGACAUUUUUAGAAGGUUUAAUAAAAAAGUUUAGAAUUU